UACGGAGGGUGCAAGCGUUAUCCGGAUUCACUGGGUUUAAAGGGUGCGUAGGCGGGCAGGUAAGUCAGUGGUGAAAUCUCCGAGCUUAACUCGGAAACUGCCGUUGAUACUAUUUGUCUUGAAUAUUGUGGAGGUAAGCGGAAUAUGUCAUGUAGCGGUGAAAUGCUUAGAUAUGACAUAGAACACCAAUUGCGAAGGCAGCUCACUACACAAAGAUUGACACUGAGGCACGAAAGCGUGGGGAUCAAACAGG
rnacentral:rRNA from 1 species